UACAGAGGAUGCAAGCGUUAUCCGGAAUUAUUGGGCGUAAAGCGUCCUAUGGUGGUUUGGUAAGUUUGCUGUUAAAGCCCUUUGCUUAACGAAGGAAAAGCAGUGAAAACUACCAGACUAGAGUAUGUUAGGGGCAGAGGGAAUUCCCAGUGUAGCGGUGAAAUGCGUAGAGAUUGGGAAGAACACCGGUGGCGAAAGCGCUCUGCUAGAACAAUACUGACACUGAUGGACGAAAGCUAGGGGAGCGAAUGGG
rnacentral:rRNA from 1 species